CGUUAAGUUGCAGGGUAUAGACCCGAAACCCGGUGAUCUAGCCAUGGGCAGGUUGAAGGUUGGGUAACACUAACUGGAGGACCGAACCGACUAAUGUUGAAAAAUUAGCGGAUGACUUGUGGCUGGGGGUGAAAGGCCAAUCAAACCGGGAGAUAGCUGGUUCUCCCCGAAAGCUAUUUAGGUAGCGCCUCGUGAAUUCAUCUCCGGGGGUAGAGCACUGUUUCGGCAAGGGGGUCAUCCCGACUUACCAACCCGAUGCAAACUGCGAAUACCGGAGAAUGUUAUCACGGGAGACACACGGCGGGUGCUAACGUCCGUCGUGAAGAGGGAAACAACCCAGACCGCCAGCUAAGGUCCCAAAGUCAUGGUUAAGUGGGAAACGAUGUGGGAAGGCCCAGACAGCCAGGAUGUUGGCUUAGAAGCAGCCAUCAUUUAAAGAAAGCGUAAUAGCUCACUGGUCGAGUCGGCCUGCGCGGAAGAUGUAACGGGGCUAAACCAUGCACCGAAGCUGCGGCAGCGACACUAUGUGUUGUUGGGUAGGGGAGCGUUCUGUAAGCCUGUGAAGGUGGCCUGUGAGGGUUGCUGGAGGUAUCAGAAGUGCGAAUGCUGACAUAAGUAACGAUAAAGCGGGUGAAAAGCCCGCUCGCCGGAAGACCAAGGGUUCCUGUCCAACGUUAAUCGGGGCAGGGUGAGUCGACCCCUAAGGCGAGGCCGAAAGGCGUAGUCGAUGGGAAACAGGUUAAUAUUCCUGUACUUGGUGUUACUGCGAAGGGGGGACGGAGAAGGCUAUGUUGGCCGGGCGACGGUUGUCCCGGUUUAAGCGUGUAGGCUGGUUUUCCAGGCAAAUCCGGAAAAUCAAGGCUGAGGCGUGAUGACGAGGCACUACGGUGCUGAAGCAACAAAUGCCCUGCUUCCAGGAAAAGCCUCUAAGCAUCAGGUAACAUCAAAUCGUACCCCAAACCGACACAGGUGGUCAGGUAGAGAAUACCAAGGCGCUUGAGAGAACUCGGGUGAAGGAA
rnacentral:rRNA from 1 species